rnacentral:tmRNA from 1 species
GGGGAUGUCAGGUAUCGACAGUCAGAGCUUUUUCUAAAUAUUCAGAGCGUGCUUAGCUAACCACGUUAAACUGGUUAAAAAAGACAAAUGCCAAAAAGGCAAGAGCAUUUACUUGGGCAACCCCAAGUUAUGCCCCAGUUAUGGCUUAAUAAAUAAGGCCGUAACCAUCGGUAGGCGGUGAGUCUUCAUAGCCGUUAACCGGUGUCAUGAACAUGAGGAUAGAAAUUAUUUGCUCCUGACAAAUAAUUUUGAAACAAAAUUAGGAUCGCCUCAAACGCUUUUGUCCGGUUUCUGAUGUUUGGGGUUAAAAAAAUAAAUCGGUCUAACUUUGUAAAUGUAUUUAGAAAAACUGAUUGGACAUGGGUUCAACUCCCAUCAUCUCCACUU